rfam:Oryza punctata chromosome 2, whole genome shotgun sequence.
AAAGAUGGUAGUUUUGCACUAUUUAUGUCCAACAUUUGACUGUCUGUCUUAUCUGAAAUUUUUUACAAUUAGUAUUAUUAUUGUUAUUAGAUGAUAAAACAUGAUUAGUACUUUAUGUGUAACUAAUUUUUUUAGUUCUUUUCAUAAAUUUUUUAAAUAAGAUGGACGGUCAAAUGUUGGACACGGAAAUCCACAACUACACUUAAA